UUGGGUCGUGUGAAGUUGAUUUGUGUUGGUUUGUGCCUUAUAAAUAUGGGCAGUUGACCGGUCCAGAAUAAUUUGUCCCAAGACUUUGCCUGAAAUUCAGGAAGAUAAGGAAGCCUUUAGCGGCCAUGAGUAGUGUAACACCCCGGUUAUAAUCAUUUUAUUUUAAUUGAGUUUAAAAUGCUUUAUAUUAUUUUAUUUGACUGCUCUAUUUAAACUAUUGGUAGUAUUGAGGUAGGGUAUAAUUUUAUUAGAAUUAUCUUUAAUUUUAAUUAUUUAAAUAAUAGAAAUAUUGAGAAAUUGACUUUUGGAAAGGGAAUUAGAAUUUAAAAUAAAAUCAACAAAAAAGGUGGAAUUUAUGAGAAUUAAGGGGAGUUAGUGAAUUAAUAAAAAUAUUAUGAUUUUGUUUAAAAAGAUAGGUGAAUUAGAGUUAGGGUUAUGUUUGGGAGAAUAAGAUGUCAACAGAGUCAGAGAAAACCCUAGCAGGGCAAGAAGUAAGAGAAGAGAGAGAUCACAUUGUCGCAACUUCAAGUUUGCUAUAGAUUUAAGGUAGGGGAGAACUGUUCAUACUAUGGGUGUUAAAGCAUGUAGGAUAGAUAAUAGUCCUUCUCCUCUUUCCUUUUCUCUUUUUUCUCUUCCUCCAUAGAUUAAUGGUUGAAUUUUGCGAGGUUUGAGCAAAAUCUCCAUAAUUAGAUUGAUGUGUUUCCCUUUUGGUUAUAUUAAUCAUGCUCAGUUGUUGUUAUUAAUAUGAAUUUUGUACGAUUAUAUGCCUUAAUGAAAUUGAAGAUAUUGUUUCUCAAAUGCUUAUGUUGUGUGUUGAUGAAAAACCAUGAUGGAUUGAUGUGAUAAUAUCAAGUUGGUAUUUUGAUGUGAUAAUAUCAAGUUGGUAUUUUGAUGUGUUAAUUAUGGUAUGAUUUGAGUAGUAUAUGUUGUUAUGCAUUUUGAGGUUGUUAAGAAUCAAAUAAUGGAGUUUUGGGUGUGUUUUUAUGGGGAAGAAUCAGAGAAAUCUCUAAAAAUCACAGGUAGACAUAGGAGGAGAUUGAUCGCAUUGUUUCAUGUGUAACUUGAGUCUCCUAGGUCCGUUUGAUGUGUCGUCUAUUGUGUUAGAAAGCUAGUGUAAUAAUAUUUAUUUUAAAGUGUGGAAAUUAGGUCUGGAAGUGCUAAAACAAUAGCAGUUAUCUAGUUUUUAUACAAUAAGUAUAGUCAAAUUUUAGUCCCGCGCGUUGGUUAUCUUGUUUCAUACAUAACUUGAUUUCCGUAAGUCCUUUAAGAAUAAAAUUUCCUUGUGUUGUGUGUGUAUGUGUGUGUGAGAGAGUGUGUGUACGCGCGUGUGUAUUUAUUUUCAUAUCAAUAAUAAAUUGAAUUUAUUACAAAUAAAUAAAGAAUUGGGGAGGUAGAUAACCUUCACCGACGAACUCAGGGUUUUCGAGUGGAUUCUGAGGUCUUUGAAAAUAGUUCUUCUUUCAGGAUCCAGACUGAAUGUGCUUUAAGCUUUGAAGUGUUUCCUUUGGGUGGAAGGAGUUCGAGGUGUGCCUCCUUCCACAUGCCUUCUUAUAUGUGGGCAAGGAUCGACUUAUUCAGGGAGUAGCUUUAGGUCGGCUUAUGAUUUGGGGCUCAUUGAAUUUCUUUGUUUGAUACUUUGACGAGGCGGUUUUGCUCCCCAAAACAUGUGAAACUUCUUGGGAUGAGGAAACUUUGUUCUGAACCUUUCCUCCGGGGUGGUGAGACCGAUAAACAGUCUGAAAGGGUUUUCAAGAUCCGAGGUACCUUUGCUUGGAACCUAUGGCUAGUUUAUCCUUUCGCGUUUGCCGAUCUAAUAAAAGGUGACUUGCUUGCCAACUUUUCCAAGCCUUGAGUGAUUUCACUCGGGAAUGUUGCAUUUAUGCUUGGAUACCCCUGCUCUCUAUUUGGUAGUUUCAAAUUCUCUUAAAUUGACAAGGCUAGGCCAAGCAAUAAGGGGGACAUUAGAUUUUACCGGAGGCAUGACCUUGAUAGGCUGAAGGUCUUAGAUUUCUUUUUAAAGGUGCCCCAAACUCGAUUUGUGCCUGAGAUUAACUAUGAACUUGAUGUAUCUUCUUGGUAGCCACAAUUGAUAUCCCAAUUAGGAUUAGAAAUAAGGGCAACAUUAAACCUCGGGGUGGACUGCAACUCCUCAGGCCGUUUCUAGACCUGGCUCUCAGAGCCUUUCUUUUGUCACUUUGCAGAACUUCUGAAAAAUUGAAGAAUCGAACACUAGAUAAUCAUGGUUGAUAAGAUGGAAAGUAGAAUCGACUGCUAUAAAUCUCUGAAUUUUCAUCUGAGUACUUCUUGAUCAUGAGAUCUAAGAAGUCCGUCAAUGAUAAAUUGAAUGACGAUUCCAGAUUCGAGAACGUAAGAAUCGAGAGUUGGUUUGCUUUUGAUUUCGUAACCUAAGGAGGUUAAGAUUGACUAAAUGAGAGAUUUGCAUUUGAAUCGCAAUAUUUUAGACUUCAAGCUUUCAAUUUUGUUCAAUACUGUUCAUGAGGCAAACACAAUUUUCGUGGAAAUCGUAGGAAUCAGAAGUCAAUUCCCACAGAUGAGUCCACUAGUAUGUUUCGGAACUAGAAAUGAUGCUCAAGCUCCAUGAAGGAACAAGGAAUGAAGAUAAAUUUAUAACUACUGAUCUUUAACUAUGGCUCAGAUCUCGGUUAUGGCUGCGCGAGGUGGACCUGUAUGGUUAGCAUUCCAAUGCCCAAGUUAUUUCAAAAUUAAAAAUGAGCAUAUUGAAAUUGGAUAUUGGAGAUUGUAUACCUUCUCAUCGCUUGUGAACUAUUUUUUAUGUUUUCGGUCGAGUAGAGUAGGAUUUUAGUGGAUUUGACUUUAGUUGAUUAGGCCUUCGACAAGUCUAGAUAACUAUAAAUUAUGCCUAUGGCUUGCUCAUGUAAAUUUUUGGUUACCCUUAUUUUACAAGAAUGUAUGUUUUUGCUUAAAUGAAAAAAUAAAAGUGAGCAUACCUUAUUUCAGAAGCAUAUAAUAUUUUCCAGAACCAAUAAAUAACAUACUUUUGUAGCGUAAUUCUUUUAACAUUUGAUAUUUUUAAAUAGUUAUUCUCGAUUAA
rnacentral:lncRNA from 1 species